rnacentral:rRNA from 1 species
GAUGAACGCUAGCGGCAGGCCUAACACAUGCAAGUCGAGGGGUAUUUGGAGCUUGCUCCAAAGAGACCGGCGCACGGGUGCGUAACGCGUAUGCAAUCUACCUUGUACUGAGGGAUAGCCCGGAGAAAUCCGGAUUAAUACCUCAUGGUUAAUUUAGUUGGCAUCGAUUGAAUUAUAAAGAUUUAUCGGUACAAGAUGAGUAUGCGUCCCAUUAGCUAGUUGGUAUGGUAACGGCAUACCAAGGCGAUGAUGGGUAGGGGCCCUGAGAGGGAGAUCCCCCUCACUGGUACUGAGACACGGACCAGACUCCUACGGGAGGCAGCAGUGAGGAAUAUUGGUCAAUGGACGGAAGUCUGAACCAGCCAUGCCGCGUGCAGGAAGACGGCCCUAUGGGUUGUAAACUGCUUUUAUACGGGAAGAAACCUCUCUACGUGUAGAGACUUGACGGUACCGUAAGAAUAAGGAUCGG